rnacentral:rRNA from 1 species
UGCAGAGAACUUUCCAGAGAUGGAUUGGUGGCCUUCGGGAACGUCUGACACAGGUGCUGCAUGGCUGUCGUCAGUCUCGUGUCGUGAGAUGUUGGGUUAAGUCCCGUAACGAGCGCAACCCUUGUCCUUAGUUACCAGCACGUUAUGGUGGGCACUCUAAGGAGACUGCCGGUGACAAACCGGAGGAAGGUGGGGAUGACGUCAAGUCAUCAUGGCCCUUACGGCCUGGGCUACACACGUGCUACAAUGGUCGGUACAAAGGGUUGCCAAGCCGCGAGGUGGAGCUAAUCCCAUAAAACCGAUCGUAGUCCGGAUCGCAGUCUGCAACUCGACUGCGUGAAGUCGGAAUCGCUAGUAAUCGUGAAUCAGAAUGUCACGGUGAAUACGUUCCCGGGCCUU